rnacentral:rRNA from 1 species
GAUGAACGCUGGCUACAGGCUUAACACAUGCAAGUCGAGGGGAAACGACGGGGAAGCUUGCUUCCCCGGGCGUCGACCGGCGCACGGGUGAGUAACGCGUAUCCAACCUGCCUCUGACUGAGGGAUAACCCGUCGAAAGUCGGCCUAAUACCUCAUGGCAUCGUCUGCGGGCAUCCAACGACGAUUAAAGAUUUCAUCGGUCAGGGAUGGGGAUGCGUCUGAUUAGCUUGUUGGCGGGGUAACGGCCCACCAAGGCUACGAUCAGUAGGGGUUCUGAGAGGAAGGUCCCCCACAUGGGAACUGAGACACGGUCCAAACUCCUACGGGAGGAAGCAGUGAGGAAUAUUGGUCAAUGGGCGGGAGCCUGAACCAGCCAAGUAGCGUGCAGGAUGACGGCCCUAUGGGUUGUAAACUGCUUUUAUGCGGGGAUAAAGUGAGGGACGUGUCCUUCAUUGCAGGUACCGCAUGAAUAAGGACCGGCUAAUUCCGUG